rnacentral:rRNA from 1 species
UGGGGAAUAUUGGGCAAUGGGCGAAAGCCUGACCCAGCAACGCCGCGUGAAGUAUGAAGGCCUUCUGGUUGUAAACUUCUUUGAUCAGGGAAGAAACAAAUGACGGUACCUGAAAAACAAGCCACGGCUAACUACGUGCCAGCAGCCGCGGUAAUACGUAGGUGGCGAGCGUUAUCCGGAUUUACUGGGUGUAAAGGGCGUGCAGGCGGGCUGAUAAGUCAGAUGUGAAAUCCCCGAGCUUAACUCGGGAACUGCAUCUGAUACUGUUGGUCUUGAGUGCUGGAGAGGAUAGUGGAAUUCCUAGUGUAGCGGUAAAAUGCGCAGAUAUUAGGAGGAACACCAGUGGCGAAGGCGGCUAUCUGGACAGUAACUGACGCUGAGGCGCGAAAGCGUGGGUAGCAAACAGG